GCCNUGCCGCGUGCGGGAAGAAGGCCUUCGGGUUGUAAACCGCUUUUGUCAGGGAAGAAAUCUUCUGGGCUAAUACCCUGGGAGGAUGACGGUACCUGAAGAAUAAGCACCGGCUAACUACGUGCCAGCAGCCGCGGUAAUACGUAGGGUGCAAGCGUUAAUCGGAAUUACUGGGCGUAAAGCGUGCGCAGGCGGUUAUAUAAGACAGAUGUGAAAUCCCCGGGCUCAACCUGGGAACUGCAUUUGUGACUGUAUGGCUAGAGUACGGUAGAGGGGGAUGGAAUUCCGCGUGUAGCAGUGAAAUGCGUAGAUAUGCGGAGGAACACCGAUGGCGAAGGCAGUCCCCUGGACCUGUACUGACGCUCAUGCACGAAAGCGUGGGGAGCAAACAGGAUUAGAUACCCUGGUAGUCCACGCCCUAAACGAUGUCAACUGGUUGUUGGGAGGGUUUCUUCUCAGUAACGUAGCUAACGCG
rnacentral:rRNA from 1 species